GGUCCUAUGGGGCCUUAUGGGGUCCUAUGGGGUUUUAUGGGAUCCUAUGGGGUUUAUGGGGCUGUAUGGGAUCUUAUGGGGUCUUAUGGGGUCUUAUGGGGUCUUAUGGGGUCUUAUGGGUUCCUAUGGGUUCCUAUGGGGUCCUAUGUGGUCUUAUGGGUUCCUAUGGGUUCCUAUGGGGCCCUAUGGGGUCCUAUGGGGUCUUAUGGGGUCCUAUGGGGUCUUAUGGGGUCCUAUGGGGUCCUAUGGGGUCCUAUGGGGUUUUAUGGGGUCUCAUGGGGUCUUAUGGGAUCUUAUGGGGUCUUAUGGGGUGCUAUGGGGUUUUAUGGGGUCUUAUGGGAUCUUAUGCGGUGUAAUGGGAUGUAUGGGGUCUUAUGGGGUGUUUUGGGUUCCUAUGGGGUCUUAUGGGUUCCUAUGGGUUCCUAUGGGUUCCUAUGAUGUCCUAUGGGGUCCUAUGGGGUCCUAUGGGGUCCUAUGGGUUCCUAUGGGGUCUGAUGGGUUCCUAUGGGGUCUUAUGGGUUCCUAUGGGGUCUUAUGGGGUCUUAUGGGUUCCUAUGGGUUCCUAUGGGUUCCUAUGGGGUUUUAUGGAGUCUUAUGGGGUCUUAUGGGUUCCUAUGGGGUCUUAUGGGUUCCUAUGGGGUUUUAUGGGGUCUUAUGGGGCCUUAUGGGGUCUGAUGGGUUCCUAUGGGUUCCUAUGGGGUUUUAUGGGGUCUUAUGUGUUCCUAUGGGGUCUUACGGGUUCCUCUGGGUUCCUAUGAGUUCCUAUGGGGUCUUAUUGGUUCCUAUGGGUUCCUAUGGGGUCUGAUGGGUUCCUAUGGGUUCCUAUGGGGUCCUAUGGGUUCCUAUGGGUUCCUAUGGGGUUUUAUGGGUUCCUAUGGGUUCUUACGGGGUUCC